AUUGAACGCUGGCGGCAUGCUUUACACAUGCAAGUCGAACGGUAACAGGUCUUCGGAUGCUGACGAGUGGCGAACGGGUGAGUAAUGCAUCGGAACGUGCCCAGUCGUGGGGGAUAACGCAGCGAAAGCUGUGCUAAUACCGCAUACGAUCUAUGGAUGAAAGCGGGGGACCGUAAGGCCUCGCGCGAUUGGAGCGGCCGAUGUCAGAUUAGCUAGUUGGUGGGGUAAAGGCCCACCAAGGCGACGAUCUGUAGCUGGUCUGAGAGGACGACCAGCAACACUGGGACUGAGACACGGCCCAGACUCCUACGGGAGGCAGCAGUGGGGAAUUUUGGACAAUGGGCGCAAGCCUGAUCCAGCAAUGCCGCGUGCAGGAAGAAGGCCUUCGGGUUGUAAACUGCUUUUGUACGGAACGAAACGGUCUGGGUUAAUACCCUGGGCUAAUGACGGUACCGUAAGAAUAAGCACCGGCUAACUACGUGCCAGCCGCCGCAGUAACAC
rnacentral:rRNA from 1 species